CAAUAAGCUAAAUAAGGGCGUAUGGAGGAUGCCUAGGCUUUCAGAGGCGAAGAAGGACGUGAUAAGCUGCGAAAAGUUACGGGGAGAUGCACAUGAUUUAUGAUCCGUAAAUAUCCGAAUGGGGCAACCCGGCAUGUUGAAGACAUGUCACAUCGUAAGAUGAGCAAACGUGGUGAACUGAAACAUCUAAGUAACCAUAGGAAGAGAAAACAAUAGUGAUUCCGUUAGUAGUGGCGAGCGAACGCGGAUUAGCCCAAACCAAAGUUGUUACGGCAAUUUUGGGGUUGUAGGGCUGCGACAUUAGAAUCUAAGUGAACUAGAAGUGUUUGGAAAGACACACCAAAGAGAGUGAUAGUCUCGUAUAGGUAAACGAAGAGGAUAUAGCAGUACCCUGAGUAGUGCGGGACACGUGUAAUCCUGUAUGAAUCC
rnacentral:ncRNA from 1 species